rnacentral:rRNA from 1 species
AAUCAACGCUGGCGGCGUGCCUAACACAUGCAAGUCGCACGAGAAAGUGGAGCAAUCCAUGAGUAAAGUGGCGCACGGGUGAGUAACACGUGACUUAUCUACCUCCGAGUGGGGAAUAACUGAGAGAAAUCUUAGCUAAUACCGCAUAACACUUACGAGUCAAAGCAGCAAUGCGCUUGGAGAGGAGGUCGCGGCCGAUUAGCUAGUUGGCGGGGUAAUGGCCCACCAAGGCGAUGAUCGGUAUCCGGCCUGAGAGGGCGCACGGACACACUGGAACUGAAACACGGUCCAGACUCCUACGGGAGGCAGCAGUGGGGAAUUUUGCGCAAUGGGGGAAACCCUGACGCAGCAACGCCGCGUGGAGGAUGAAAUCCCUUGGGAUGUAAACUCCUUUCGAUAGGGAAGAUGAUGACGGUACCUAUAGAAGAAGCCCCGGCUAACUUCGUGCCAGCAGCCGCGGUAAUACGAGGGGGGCAAGCGUUGUUCGGAAUUAUUGGGCGUAAAGGGUGCGUAGGCGGUUUGGCAAGUCUUAUGUGAAAUCUAUGGGCUCAACCCAUAGUCUGCAUGAGAAACUGCCG